AACAUCAUGGCAGGUACAGAACUGUGAUCUCAAGAAAAAUAUAUUUAAAAAUGUAUUUUUCAGAUUUAGGGGGAGUGAAAACCCUACUUGUGAGUAUUUGCACUCGGAAGGGUCAUGAUGAAUAUUGAAUAGUCGGACAUAGUACGAUAAGGUUGUAUGUCUAAAGGGAAACAGCCCAGAACAAGAGUUAAUAAGGUUCCAAAAUUAUUGUUAAGUGAAAUUAAGGUAGUAUUUAUCCAAUUCGUCCAGGAAAUAGGCCUAGAAGCAGCCAUUUUUUUGAGAUUUCGUAACAGAGCACUGGUUUAUUACUGUUCUAUAAAAUAGAAUAGUCCACAAUGAUAAAAGCACCGAAAAUUUAACGGAUCUAAACAAUAUACCGAGACCUUGUCUAUAAAUAGUUAUGUAUUUAAAUUAUAUAUUAUAUUUAUGGGGUAGUGGAACGCUGGGUAAAUCUAGGAUUUUAUCUUUUUAAGAUUUAAAAUAAGAUAACCCAGGUGAUAAUGCUGACAUGAGUAACGAUAAAGGGAAUUAAUCCCUCGCCUAAAACUUAUGGUAUUUGUUUAAAGUAACGGCCUCUAAGUUUAUAUUUGCUUUAUAUAUAAAAUUAUAUAUAAAGCAAAUACCUAAAGGAUUAAACGAUGAGAAAAUCUAGUAGAGUUUACUGCUAUAUAACCUUUGUGCAUGUUUUGCUAAAGUGACAAAGUGUUCUGGAAAACUUUAAACUCAGCAAUGAGUAAUACUCAUGCUAUUGAACCGUACCUAGAUACUGCCUCUGGUAAGUUAGUAGAGAAUACGAAGGCGU
rnacentral:rRNA from 1 species